GCUCGGCCCGAUCCUCCCACCCUUUGUGUACCUACCUCUGUUGCUUUGGCGGGCCGCGGUCCUCCGCGGCCGCCCCCCUCCCCGGGGGGGUGGCCAGCGCCCGCCAGAGGACCAUCAAACUCCAGUCAGUAAACGAUGCAGUCUGAAAAACAUUUAAUAAACUAAAACUUUCAACAACGGAUCUCUUGGUUCUGGCAUCGAUGAAGAACGCAGCGAAAUGCGAUAAGUAAUGUGAAUUGCAGAAUUCAGUGAAUCAUCGAAUCUUUGAACGCACAUUGCGCCCUUUGGUAUUCCGAAGGGCAUGCCUGUUCGAGCGUCAUUACAACCCUCAAGCUCUGCUUGGUAUUGGGCACCGUCCUUUGCGGGCGCGCCUCAAAGACCUCGGCGGUGGCGUCUUGCCUCAAGCGUAGUAGAACAUACAUCUCGCUUCGGAGCGCAGGGCGUCGCCCGCCGGACGAACCUUCUGAACUUUUCUCAAGGUUGACCUCGGAUCAGGUAGGGAUACCCGCUGAACUUAAGCAUAUCAAA
rnacentral:rRNA from 1 species